rnacentral:snRNA from 1 species
GUGCCUUAAACUAAUGAGUAAGGAAAAUUACAAGCCUUGUUGAUGCUUGGCUUAACCUUUUUGCCGAGCAGAGCAUUUUUCUAUGUGAUAAAUGCUCCUCAUUCGAAAAGUAUAAAUUUUUGUAAAGGCAAAGGUCGUCCCUUUGAGCUCGAUUUACUA